AUUGAACGCUGGCGGCAGGCCUAACACAUGCAAGUCGGGCGAGCGGCGGACGGGUGAGUAAUGUAUGGGGAUCUGCCUGAUGGAGGGGGAUAACUACUGGAAACGGUAGCUAAUACCGCAUACCAUCAGAUGAACCCAUAUGGGAUUAGGUAGUUGGUGAGGUAAAGGCUCACCAAGCCGACGAUCGCUAGCUGGUCUGAGAGGAUGACCAGCCACACAGGGACGUAGACACGGCCCAUACUCCUACGGGAGGAAGCAGUGGGGAAUAUUGGACAAUGGGCGAAAGCCUGAUCCAGCAAUACCGCGUGUGUGAAGAAGGCCCUAGGGUUGUAAAGCACUUUUGUUAGGGAGAGGUUACCUAAAGAAUAAGCACCGGCUAACUCCGUGCCAGCCGCCGCGGUAAUAC
rnacentral:rRNA from 1 species